rnacentral:rRNA from 1 species
AGAGUUUGAUCCUGGCUCAGGACGAACGCUGGCGGCGUGCUUAACACAUGCAAGUCGAGCGAUGAAACACCUUCGGGUGUGAAUUAGCGGCGAACGGGUGAGGAACACGUGAAGAAUCUGCCUUCAACUCUGGGAUAACUCCGGGAAACCGGGGCUAAUACCGGAUAUGAGCCUUGAUCGCAUGAUCGGGGCUGGAAAGUUUUUCGGUUGAAGAUGACUUCGCGGCCUAUCAGCUUGUUGGUGAGGUAAUGGCUCACCAAGGCGACGACGGGUAGCCGGCCUGAGAGGGCGACCGGCCACACUGGGACUGAGACACGGCCCAGACUCCUACGGGAGGCAGCAGUGGGGAAUAUUGGGCAAUGGAGGAAACUCUGACCCAGCGACGCCGCGUGAGGGAUGAAGGCCUUCGGGUUGUAAACCUCUUUCAGUAGGGAAGAAGCGAAAGUGACGGUACCUACAGAAGAAGCACCGGCUAACUAUGUGCCAGCAGCCGCGGUAAUACAUAGGGUGCAAGCGUUGUCCGGAAUUAUUGGGCGUAAAGAGCUCGUAGGUGGUUCGAUACGUCGGAUGUGAAAAUCAGGGGCUCAACCCCUGACCUGCAUCCGAUACGGUCGAGCUAGAGUUUGGUAGGGGAGACUGGAAUUCCUGGUGUAGCGGUGGAAUGCGCAGAUAUCAGGAGGAACACCGAUGGCGAAGGCAGGUCUCUGGGCCAAUACUGACACUGAGGAGCGAAAGCGUGGGGAGCGAACAGGAUUAGAUACCCUGGUAGUCCACGCCGUAAACGGUGGGCGCUAGUUGUGCGAACCUUCCACGGUUUGUGCGACGCAGCUAACGCAUUAAGCGCCCCGCCUGGGGAGUACGAUCGCAAGAUUAAAACUCAAAGGAAUUGACGGGGCCCCGCACAAGCAGCGGAGCAUGCGGCUUA